AACGAACGCUGGCGGCAGGCUUAACACAUGCAAGUCGAGCGCCCCGCAAGGGGAGCGGCAGACGGGUGAGUAACGCGUGGGAACGUACCCUUUACUACGGGAUAGCUCCGGGAAACUGGAAUUAAUACCGUAUGCGCCCUUCGGGGGAAAGAUUUAUCGGUAAAGGAUCGGCCCGCGUUGGAUUAGCUAGUUGGUGGGGUAAAGGCCUACCAAGGCGACGAUCCAUAGCUGGUCUGAGAGGAUGAUCAGCCACAUUGGGACUGAGACACGGCCCAAACUCCUACGGGAGGCAGCAGUGGGGAAUAUUGGGCAAUGGGCGCAAGCCUGAUCCAGCCAUGCCGCGUGAGUGAUGAAGGCCUUAGGGUUGUAAAGCUCUUUCACCGAUGAAGAUAAUGACGGUAGUCGGAGAAGAAGCCCCGGCUAACUUCGUGCCAGCCGCCGCCGUAACAC
rnacentral:rRNA from 1 species